rnacentral:tRNA from 1 species
UUUAAAAAGCUUCUAACUUUUAAUAAAGCAUAUUAUGUUUAUAUUUCUU